rnacentral:tRNA from 1 species
GGGAGUGUAUGCAAGUGGCUAAAGCCGGCGGACUGUAAAUCCGUCCCGUAAUGGUUCGUAGGUUCGAAUCCUACCGCUCCCA